rnacentral:rRNA from 1 species
GCUCGUAGUUGGACUUCCGGUCGCUGGGAGCGGUCCGCCGAGAGGUGAGUACUGCUCCUGGUGACCUUCCUCUCGAGGAUCGCGUGUGCCCUUAACUGGGUGUGCGCGGGACUCGGGACCUUUACUUUGAAAAAAUUAGAGUGUUCAAAGCAGGCAUACGCUUGAAUACUUCAGCAUGGAAUAAUAGAAUAGGACUUUGGUUCUAUUUUGUUGGUUUCUAGGACCGAAGUAAUGAUUAAUAGGGAUAGUUGGGGGCAUUAGUAUUUAAUUGUCAGAGGUGAAAUUCUUGGAUUUAUGAAAGACUAACUUCUGCGAAAGCAUUUGCCAAGGAUGUUUUCAUUAAUCAAGAACGAAAGUUAGGGGAUCGAAGACGAUCAGAUACCGUCGUAGUCUUAACCAUAAACUAUGCCGACUAGGGAUCGGUGGGCGUUGUUUUUGACCCCAUCGGCACCUUAUGGGAAACCAAAGUUUUUGGGUUCCGGGGGGAGUAUGGUCGCAAGGCUGAAACUUAAAGGAAUUGACGGAAGGGCACCACCAGGUGUGGAGCCUGCGGCUUAAUUUGACUCAACACGGGGAAACUCACCAGGUCCAGACAUAGGAAGGAUUGACAGAUUGAGAGCUCUUUCUUGAUUCUAUGGGUGGUGGUGCAUGG